GAUGAACGCUGGCGGCGUGCCUAAUACAUGCAAGUCGAGCGAACGGACGAGAAGCUUGCUUCUCUGAUGUUAGCGGCGGACGGGUGAGUAACACGUGGAUAACCUACCUAUAAGACUGGGAUAACUUCGGGAAACCGGAGCUAAUACCGGAUAAUAUUUUGAACCGCAUGGUUCAAAAGUGAAAGACGGUCUUGCUGUCACUUAUAGAUGGAUCCGCGCUGCAUUAGCUAGUUGGUAAGGUAACGGCUUACCAAGGCAACGAUGCAUAGCCGACCUGAGAGGGUGAUCGGCAACACUGGAACUGAGACACGGUCCAGACUCCUACGGGAGGCAGCAGUAGGGAAUCUUCCGCAAUGGGCGAAAGCCUGACGGAGCAACGCCGCGUGAGUGAUGAAGGUCUUCGGAUCGUAAAACUCUGUUAUUAGGGAAGAACAUAUGUGUAAGUAACUGUGCACAUCUUGACGGUACCUAAGCAGAAAGCCACGGCUAACUACGU
rnacentral:rRNA from 1 species